rnacentral:pre_miRNA from 1 species
AGUGCACCGGUGGGGUCCCUCGGCCUGGCUUGCGUCCUCUCGCAAUCUGGAACCCUCAGGGGAUGUCGGAGAGCCAGUUUUGGCCCGAUCCCGCAGGCCAGGCCGAGGGACCCCACUGGUGCACG